GUCGAGUGGUAACAGAUCUAGCUUGCUAGAUGCUGACGAGCGGCCGACGGGUGAGUAAUGCAUAGGAAUCUGCCCGAUAGUGGGGGAUAACCUGGGGAAACCCAGGCUAAUACCGCAUACGUCCUACGGGAGAAAGGGGGCUUCGGCUCCCGCUAUUGGAUGAGCCUAUGUCGGAUAUCUAGUUGGUGAGGUAAUGGCUCACCAAGGCAACGAUCCUGUAGCUGGUCUGAGAGGAUGAUCAGCCACAUCGGGACUGAGACACAGGCCCGAACUCCUACGGGAGGCAGCAGUGGGGAAUAUUGGACAAUGGGGGCAACCCUGAUCCAGCCAUGCCGCGUGUGUGAAGAAGGCCCUCGGGUUGUAAAGCACUUUCAGCGAGGAAGAACGCCUAUCGGUUAAUACCCGGUAGGAAAGACAUCACUCGCAGAAGAAGCACCGGCUAACUCCGUGCCACAGCCCGCGGUAAUACGGAGGGUGCAAGCGUUAAUCGGAAUACUGGGCGUAAAGCGCGCGUAGGUGGCUUGAUAGCCGGUUGUGAAAGCCCCCGGCUCACCUGGGAACGCAUCCGACUGCAGCUC
rnacentral:rRNA from 1 species